GGGAGCCCUGGUUGCCAUAACAACUGAUUGGUCCUCUCCUCUUCCUCCACCUCUGCCACAGGGCUCCAGCUUCCCUCUGGGGGCACCACUGUUCUUAGAUGGCAGAGCAGAUGCAACGGCACCCCUGAGCUGCCCUCAGGGGGUCCUCAGCCUUGGAGGAGGCAGGAGACCUGGGCUAUGGAGCUGCUCACAGGCCCUACUGAGAACAACUUGGUGUCCAUCACAGUCCUCUUCAGAAUGCCCAGAAUAUAGGGAUAAGGAGGUGAAACCGGCGUGUUUAUUAACACAAUGGAAUAUUCUGUGGCCAAAUCAAAGGAAGACGUUGAGGAUUCUGGUGACACCUGGAAACGUACUGCUAAGGGAAAAAAGCAGGACCCACAAUGCUAUGUGGAUAUUGACUGUGACUAUAUAAUGCCAGCGUGGACUUCUCAGAGAUGGAAUUUGGAGGAAUGUAAUACAGAUGCAAAUAGAGUUUUCCCCACACUGCCUUCUCCCGCGGUGUUUCCUCAUCUCUGUCAACAGCCUUGCCACCUACUCUGUUGCCCAAACCAGAAACUUGAUUCAAACUAGACUUCUCCCUCUGCCCUCAUGCCCCGUUCCUGUUAGUCACAAGUCCUGCUGGUUCCAGCUCUGAGACAGCUUUCAGAGUACUCCUCCUCCUGUUUCCACAUUCACAUCCCCCAGGGGACUCUCUCCUCCCAGCUUGUCUGUUCCCCCGCAUGCCCCCCACGCUCUGCUCCCCUGGCACCUCUGCCAUGCUGCUGCCCCAGGGCAGACGUGGCCAAGGGGCUCCUCUCCUCCCGCUCCUCAUUUGCUCCAGGAUCAAGGACACACUUCUUGGCCCAUUGAAGACCCUUCCGGAUCCACUUCCUUAGCCCAGGCUCUAGCUUCUCCCUGCUUGCAGCCAUGCAGAACUCCAGGAGGCUUUCUUUAUUCCUCUUUGCCUGUGAAGACAGCUCCCUCUGGCAGGAAUACCCUUCGCUGCCUGAUCUGCCUGGUCAACUCCUAUCCCCCAUUUCAGAUUUUGCCCAAGACUUUCUAAGACGGUAGAAGAAAGAGGUUUCCACUCCAUUCCCCUCCUGAAAACUGUACAGAAACCACAGGAGAACAGGAAUAGAAGCCUGAACUCCGUCUUUGGUGAAACAUGGAGACCUCUCUACUCUUGAAUCUCAAUACAUGGAGGGGGAAGCUGCUGGAGGAGGAUAAAGGGCUCAGCAGAGAGAAGAAAUGUCAAACCUCUGUACUUACGAGUGGGGAAGGCACUACAGAAAUGAGCUGAUUUUCUCUACAGAGACCCAGAAAGGGUCCAGGAUCAGAGGCACCAGGGAACUGCUGAAGGAUGUGUUUAACUUAAAUCAGGACUCCAAGAAAGAAGUUAGAUCCAGAAACAAGUGCUGCAACACAGGAGGGAAGAGAGAAGGGAAUUCCUUGGGUCAUGGCUCCAGGGACACAAGGAGACAGCUAUGCCUUGGACCAGAGAGCAAGCUGCCUAGAUCAGCAGAAGUCAGAAGGCUCUAGUGGCUGCGGGAGUUUGUCCUCAGGAAGAAAACUCGGCCUAACAAGUGAUCUGACAGGUUUGGUGAUGUGGAAAAUUAUAUUGAGGCAUGGAAAGAUUUCAUCAGUUGUUUUCAACAACAACAACAACAAACAGAACUAAGUUGAUGAAAAAUGAGGUAAUUGUUAACAGGAAGAACAAAAAGGAAAGCAAAUAAGAUCAUAGUGUGCUACUUGGCCCAGGAAUAAAAUAAUAUUUGUGUAUUUAUAAAAGUGAAAAUGUGGAAUGUGGAUUUUAAAAGAUUGAGAUAUUAUUUUGGGAGCAUAAG